rnacentral:rRNA from 1 species
AUUGAGCGCUGGCGGCAGGCCUAACACAUGCAAGUCGAGCGGAUGAGUGGAGCUUGCUCCAUGAUUCAGCGGCGGACGGGUGAGUAAUGCCUAUGAAUCUGCCUGGUAGUGGGGGACAACGUUUCGAAAGGAACGCUAAUACCGCAUACGUCCUACGGGAGAAAGUGGGGGAUCUUCGGACCUCACGCUCUCAGAUGAGCCUAGGUCGGAUUAGCUAGUUGGUGAGGUAAAGGCUCACCAAGGCGACGAUCCGUAACUGGUCUGAGAGGAUGAUCAGUCACACUGGAACUGAGACGCGGUCCAGACUCCUACGGGAGGCAGCAGUGGGGAAUAUUGGACAAUGGGCGAAAGCCUGAUCCAGCCAUGCCGCGUGUGUGAAGAAGGUCUUCGGAUUGUAAAGCACUUUAAGUUGGGAGGAAGGGCAGUAAGUUAAUACCUUGCUGUUUUGACGUUACCAACAGAAUAAGCACCGGCUAACUUCGUGCCAGCCGCCGCCGUAA